rnacentral:rRNA from 1 species
AUUGAACGCUGGCGGCAUGCCUUACACAUGCAAGUCGAACGGUAACAGGUCUUCGGAUGCUGACGAGUGGCGAACGGGUGAGUGAUACAUCGGAACGUGCCUAGUAGUGGGGGAUAACUACUCGAAAGAGUGGCUAAUACCGCAUGAGAUCUACGGAUGAAGGCAGGGGAUCGCAAGACCUUGUGCUACUAGAGCGGUCGAUGGCAGAUUAGGUAGUUGGUGGGAUAAAAGCUUACCAAGCCGACGAUCUGUAGCUGGUCUGAGAGGACGAUCAGCCACACUGGGACUGAGACACAGCCCAGACUCCUACGGGAGGCAGCAGUGGGGAAUUUUGGACAAUGGGCGCAAGCCUGAUCCAGCAAUGCCGCGUGCAGGAUGAAGGCCUUCGGGUUGUAAACUGCUUUUGUACGGAACGAAAAGCCCCGGGUUAAUACCCUGGGGUCAUGACGGUACCGUAAGAAUAAGCACCGGCUAACUACGUGCCAGCAGCCGCAGUAA